UACAGAGACUGCAAGCGUUAUUCGGAUUCACUGGGCGUAAAGGGUGCGCAGGCGGCCAAGUGUGUGAGGCGUGAAAGCCCGAUGCUUAACAUCGGAAUUGCACCUCAAACUACAUGGCUAGAGCAUUGGAGAGGGUAGCGGAAUUCACGGUGUAGCAGUGAAAUGCGUAGAUAUCUGGAGGAAUACCGGUGGCGAAGGCGGCAUCCUGGACCGACAUUGACGCUGAACGGCGAAGGCUAGGGGAGCAAACGGG
rnacentral:rRNA from 1 species